AACAUGUCACAGUAAUCAAUACCAUCUGCGUUAAGAUGUCGGGGAUGUGUUAGACGAAUGAUUUUAUUUUAUGGAGCUUUGAAGAGCGAUGAAUGACACUAAAGUGGUGCCAAAUUGAUAUCUCAAACACCCAUUGUUGAUGUGUGAUGCUGAUAAUACAGAGACAGCUAGAGUGACAGAGUUUGAUGAAUAAACUUAAAUUAAAAAACAG